GAGAUAAUAGUCGGUAUGCACUUGCAUAUGACCAGCUUUUAUUUACCAGGAAAGAAAUUCAUAACAAAGUCAUAUACAUGCGCUUUAUUCACAUAUGUACAUAUGUAUAUCCUGAAGGAAUAUUAAAUGACCAUAAGAACAAUGACAGCAUGUACCUUGAAGGCGAAACAUUCAGUAUCAACUCUAACGAGAAUGAAAACGAGUUUGAAGGACGAUUUCACCUCACUUCGGCAAAAACUCCGAUUGUUGUGAGCAAACUGCAGUGUAAAGCAGUAUACCAACAAAUUUAAUGAUUUAUCCCAUGCAAACAGGCGGAAAAGUUGUGGAAUAAAUAUUUAUAUGGUUAGAAAAUUUAAUAAAUAUAACAAUGUAUGAUUAAAUUAAAACAAGAUAGUUCUACAUACCUGUGAGAGGAUUCCAUCAUUUGAAGAUAUUAUUAAAUCAUCCAUUUUUUGCU